UACAGAGGGCUCAAGCGUUGUUCGGAUUCAUUGGGCGUAAAGGGCGCGUAGGCGGCCAUGCGUGUCUUCCGUGAAAUCCCUCGGCUUAACUGAGGACGUGCGGAAGAAACUGCAAGGCUCGAGUCCGGGAGAGGGGGGUGGAAUUCCCAGUGUAGCGGUGAAAUGCGUAGAUAUUGGGAGGAACACCGGUGGCGAAGGCGGCCCCCUGGACCGGUACUGACGCUGAGGCGCGAAAGCGUGGGUAGCAAACGGG
rnacentral:rRNA from 1 species